GAUGAACGCUGGCGGCGUGCCUAAUACAUGCAAGUCGAGCGAACAGAUGAGGAGCUUGCUCCUCUGACGUUAGCGGCGGACGGGUGAGUAACACGUGGAUAACCUACCUAUAAGACUGGGAUAACUUCGGGAAACCGGAGCUAAUACCGGAUAAUAUAUUGAACCGCAUGGUUCAAUAGUGAAAGACGGUUUUGCUGUCACUUAUAGAUGGAUCCGCGCCGCAUUAGCUAGUUGGUAAGGUAACGGCUUACCAAGGCAACGAUGCGUAGCCGACCUGAGAGGUGGACCGGCCCACUGGAACAUGAGCACCGGUCCAGCCCCCAAGGGAAGGAACAAGUAGGAAUCCUUCGGCAAUGGGGGAAGCCUUGACGGACCACCGCGGCGGGAGUGAUGAAGGUCUUCGGACCGUAAAACCCUGUUAUUAGGGAAGAACAAAUGGGUAAGUAACAAUGCCCGCCUGGACGGAACCUAAUCAGAAAGCCCCGCCUACCUCCGU
rnacentral:rRNA from 1 species